rnacentral:rRNA from 1 species
CUUGCUUUUCUGAUGACGACCGGCGCACGGGUGCGUAACGCGUAUACAACCUACCUUUUAGCGGGGAAUAGCCCAGGGAAACUUGGAUUAAUGCCCCAUAGUAUAUAAACUUCUCCUGAAGUUUAUAUUAAACAUUUAUGGCUAUUAGAUGGGUAUGCGUCCUAUUAGUUAGUUGGUAAGGUAACGGCUUACCAAGGCAGCGAUAGGUAGGGGUCCUGAGAGGGAGAUCCCCCACACUGGUACUGAGACACGGACCAGACUCCUACGGGAGGCAGCAGUGAGGAAUAUUGGACAAUGGGCGAGAGCCUGAUCCAGCCAUGCCGCGUGCAGGAAGACUGCCCUAUGGGUUGUAAACUGCUUUUACAGAGGAAGAACCACCCCCACGUGUGGGGGUUUGACGGUACUCUGCGAAUAAGGAUCGGCUAACUCCGUGCCAGCAGCCGCGGUAAUACGGAGGAUCCAAGCGUUAUCCGGAAUCAUUGGGUUUAAAGGGUCCGUAGGCGGGCAGUUAAGUCAGUGGUGAAAGUCUUCCGCUCAACGGGAGAACUGCCAUUGAUACUGAUUGUCUUGAGUUAUUAUGAAGUGGUUAGAAUGAGUAGUGUAGCGGUGAAAUGCAUAGAUAUUACUCAGAAUACCGAUUGCGAAGGCAGAUCACUAAUAAUAUACUGACGCUGAUGGACGAAAGCGUAGGUAGCGAACAGGAUUAGAUACCCUGGUAGUCUACGCCGUAAACGAUGGUUACUAGCUGUUCGGCCCAAUUGAGGGCUGAGUGGUUAAGCGAAAGUGAUAAGUAACCCACCUGGGGAGUACGUUCGCAAGAAUGAAACUCAAAGGAAUUGACGGGGGCCCGCACAAGCGGUGGAGCAUGUGGUUUAAUUCGAUGAUACGCGAGGAACCUUACCAGGGCUUAAAUGUAGUCUGACAGGUCUGGAAACAGACUUUUCUUCGGACAGAUUACAAGGUGCUGCAUGGUUGUCGUCAGCUCGUGCCGUGAGGUGUCAGGUUAAGUCCUAUAACGAGCGCAACCCCUGUGGUUAGUUGCCAGCGAGUAAUGUCGGGAACUCUAGCCAGACUGCCGGUGCAAACCGCGAGGAAGGUGGGGAUGACGUCAAAUCAUCACGGCCCUUACGUCCUGGGCCACACACGUGCUACAAUGGUAGGGACAGAGAGCAGCCACUUCGCGAGAAGGAGCGAAUCUACAAACCCUAUCACAGUUCGGAUCGCAGUCUGCAACUCGACUGCGUGAAGCUGGAAUCGCUAGUAAUCGCAUAUCAGCCAUGAUGCGGUGAAUACGUUCCCGGGCCUUGUACACACCGCCCGUCAAGCCAUGGAAGCCGGGGGUACCUGA